rnacentral:rRNA from 1 species
GUCUUGAGUACAGUAGAGGUGGGCGGAAUUCGUGGUGUAGCGGUGAAAUGCUUAGAUAUCACGAAGAACUCCGAUUGCGAAGGCAGCUCACUGGACUGCAACUGACACUGAUGCUCGAAAGUGUGGGUAUCAAACAGGAUUAGAUACCCUGGUAGUCCACACAGUAAACGAUGAAUACUCGCUGUUUGCGAUAUACAGUAAGCGGCCAAGCGAAAGCAUUAAGUAUUCCACCUGGGGAGUACGCCGGCAACGGUGAAACUCAAAGGAAUUGACGGGGGCCCGCACAAGCGGAGGAACAUGUGGUUUAAUUCGAUGAUACGCGAGGAACCUUACCCGGGCUUAAAUUGCAUUUGAAUAUAUUGGAAACAGUAUAGUCGUAAGACAAAUGUGAAGGUGCUGCAUGGUUGUCGUCAGCUCGUGCCGUGAGGUGUCGGCUUAAGUGCCAUAACGAGCGCAACCCUUAUCUUUAGUUACUAACAGGUCAUGCUGAGGACUCUAGAGAGACUGCCGUCGUAAGAUGUGAGGAAGGUGGGGAUGACGUCAAAUCAGCACGGCCCUUACGUCCGGGGCUACACACGUGUUACAAUGGGGGGUACAGAAGGCAGCUACCUGGUGACAGGAUGCUAAUCCCAAAAGCCUCUCUCAGUUCGGAUCGAAGUCUGCAACCCGACUUCGUGAAGCUGGAUUCGCUAGUAAUCGCGCAUCAGCCAUGGCGCGGUGAAUACGUUCCCGGGCCUUGUACACACCGCCCGUCAAGCCAUGAAAGCCGGGGGUACCUGAAGUACGUAACCGCAAGGAGCGUCCUAGGGUAAAACUGGUAAUUGGGGCUAAGUCGUAACAAGGUAGCCGUACCGGAAGGUGCGGCUG